CCGGCGCACGGGUGAGUAACGCGUAUGCGACCUGCCCGUUGCAGGGGGGAUAAUCGGGAGAAAUCCCGUCUAAUACCGCGUAACGCCGCGGGGCUGCAUGGCCCUGCGGCCAAAGGGAGCGAUUCCGGCAACGGAUGGGCAUGCGUGACAUUAGCUUGUUGGCGGGGUAACGGCCCACCAAGGCGACGAUGUCUAGGGGUUCUGAGAGGAAGGUCCCCCACACUGGUACUGAGACACGGACCAGACUCCUACGGGAGGCAGCAG
rnacentral:rRNA from 1 species